GCAUAUCAAUAAGCGGAGGAAAAGAAACCAACCGGGAUUGCCUUAGUAACGACGAGUGAAGCGGCAAAAGCUCAAAUUUGAAAUCUGGUACCUUCGGUGCCCGAGUUGUAAUUUGGAGAGGGCAACUUUGGGGCCGUUCCUUGUCUAUGUUCCUUGGAACAGGACGUCAUAGAGGGUGAGAAUCCCGUGUGGCGAGGAGUGCGGUUCUUUGUAAAGUGCCUUCGAAGAGUCGAGUUGUUUGGGAAUGCAGCUCUAAGUGGGUGGUAAAUUCCAUCUAAAGCUAAAUAUUGGCGAGAGACCGAUAGCGAACAAGUACAGUGAUGGAAAGAUGAAAAGAACUUUGAAAAGAGAGUGAAAAAGUACGUGAAAUUGUUGAAAGGGAAGGGCAUUUGAUCAGACAUGGUGUUUUGUGCCCUCUGCUCCUUGUGGGUAGGGGAAUCUCGCAUUUCACUGGGCCAGCAUCAGUUUUGGUGGCAGGAUAAAUCCAUAGGAAUGUAGCUUGCCUCGGUAAGUAUUAUAGCCUGUGGGAAUACUGCCAGCUGGGACUGAGGACUGCGACGUAAGUCAAGGAUGCUGGCAUAAUGGUUAUAUGCCGCCCGUCUUGAAACACGGACC
rnacentral:rRNA from 1 species